AGUGAACGCUGGCGGUAGGCCUAACACAUGCAAGUCGAACGGCAGCACAGGAGAGCUUGCUCUCUGGGUGGCGAGUGGCGGACGGGUGAGGAAUACAUCGGAAUCUACUUUUUCGUGGGGGAUAACGUAGGGAAACUUACGCUAAUCCCGCAUACGACCUACGGGUGAAAGCAGGGGACCUGCGGGCCUUGCGCGAUUGAAUGAGCCGAUUCCGGAUUAGCUAGUUGGCGGGGUAAGGGCCCACCAAGGCGACGAUCCGUAGCUGGUCUGAGAGGAUGAUCAGCCACGCUGGAACUGAGACACGGUCCAGACUCCUACGGGAGGCAGCAGUGGGGAAUAGUGGACAAUGGGCGCAAGCCUGAUCCAGCCAUACCGCGUGGGUGAAGAAGGCCUUCGGGUUGGAAAGCCCUUUUGUUGGGAAAGAAAUCCAGCUGGCUAAUACCCGGUUGGGAUGACGGUACCCAAAGAAUAAGCACCGGCUAACUUCGUGCCAGCAGCCGCCGCAG
rnacentral:rRNA from 1 species